UUGCCCAUUGAAAAUUCGACA
ensembl:piRNA 21ur-4613 ncRNA